ACACUCCUGCGGGAGGCAGCAGUGGGGAAUUUUGGACAAUGGGCGAAAGCCUGAUCCAGCCAUGCCGCGUGCAGGAUGAAGGCCUUCGGGUUGUAAACUGCUUUUGUACGGAACGAAACGGCCUUUUCUAAUAAAGAGGGCUAAUGACGGUACCGUAAGAAUAAGCACCGGCUAACUACGUGCCAGCAGCCGCGGUAAUACGUAGGGUGCAAGCGUUAAUCGGAAUUACUGGGCGUAAAGCGUGCGCAGGCGGUUAUGUAAGACAGUUGUGAAAUCCCCGGGCUCAACCUGGGAACUGCAUCUGUGACUGCAUAGCUAGAGUACGGUAGAGGGGGAUGGAAUUCCGCGUGUAGCAGUGAAAUGCGUAGAUAUGCGGAGGAACACCGAUGGCGAAGGCAAUCCCCUGGACCUGUACUGACGCUCAUGCACGAAAGCGUGGGGAGCAAACAGGAUUAGAUACCCGUGUAGUCCCAUG
rnacentral:rRNA from 1 species